rnacentral:rRNA from 1 species
UACGGAGGAGGCAAGCGUUAUCCGGAAUUAUUGGGCGUAAAGCGUCCGUAGGUGGGUUACCAAGUCAGUUGUUAAAUAGUGAAGCUUAACUUCAUAGAGGCAAAUGAAACUGGUAGUCUAGAGUGCGGUAGGGGUAGAGGGAAUUUCCAGUGUAGCGGUGAAAUGCGUAGAUAUUGGAAAGAACACCGGUGGCGAAAGCGCUCUACUGGGCCUGCACUGACACUGAGGGACGAAAGCUAGGGGAGCGAAAGGG